rnacentral:rRNA from 1 species
AUACGGAGGGUGCAAGCGUUAUCCGGGAUUUAUGGGUUUAAAGGGUGCGUAGCGGGCGCCUAAGUCAGCGGUGAAAUGCAGCGGCUCAACCGUUGAACUGCCGUUGAAACUGGGCGCCUUGGAUGCGGUCGAGGCCGGCGGAAUGCGUGGUGUAGCGGUGAAAUGCUUAGAUAUCACGCAGAACGCCAAUUGCGAAGGCAGCUGGCCGGGCCGCAAUCGACGCUGAGGCACGAAAGCGUGGGGAUC